rnacentral:sRNA from 1 species
UAGUCUGCUUAUUAUAGUCGACAACUAUUGGGCUCCAUUCUAAUGAUUUCAUAAGCUAGUCAACAUGAGCUACAACAGGCUGUUAAUAAAGAUCUUCUUUCUAGCAGCCGUAUACUGGACUGCUAGCUCGGGCUAUAAGCCUAGAAUAGUGACACGCUUGAUGGCUCGAUGCAUGAAAAAUAGACAACACUACAAGUUGCUGACUAAUGGGCAUGUGAAGAAAUGUCUGAGGUAUCACGAAGAAAUGAAAAAAUAUGUAGAGGCCAAAAGGAUUUGUAAAGGUUUCAAUUACUUGCUGUAAAUCUACGUUGGAUUCUGUUUCUCUGGCCCCCUUCCA